ACUCACCACAAACGAAAGAAAUCUAAAAAAGUAGAACAUUGUGGUAGAACAUGACGUAAACAAAAUAUAAAAUGUCUUGUGUCCAUGGCCAAUGGCUAUUAUCUAUUUACAAUAGUUAGAAACAAAGCAAAUUGUUUCAUAAUUUGGACACUACGUUAAUUAUUAACUAAGUGUGGUAUGAAACCCUAUUUGUUUGUAAGUCACAGUAACAUAUCUACGUAGCAAGCAAGCUAUAACGCAAAUGUAGCAAUAAUGGACAAAGAAGAUGCAUUAUUAGGAAUGGAGAUGGGACGGCUGGAAAUUGAACCUUUAAAGUUAAAUAAGAUUAGAAGUAAUGAAAAUCCUUUUACAAGUCCUUUACUAAAGAGAAACUAUUUGGAAGUUCCUCUUACAUUUGUUCCUAAUGAAUCCAGAUGCUCUUGUUCCAGUAAAAAGAAACUAAAAUCUGGAAUCUUAAAAAAGAAGCAUAAUAAAAUUCUCAAAGAACCAGUACUAAACAUAUUAAAAAAAUGUAGUAAUACUGUUAAAUUGGAAAAUAUUGAUAACUGUGAAGAAUCAACAAGCAGAAGUUUGUCAGAUAUUGAGGGAUGUGACCCCUUAAGUUUAUGCACACUUGUUGAUAACUGUAAUCAGUUAAGAAUAUCAUCUAGUGAUAAUAAAUUAAAUUUAGUAGCUAAUGAAUAUGGUGGUCGAAGAUGGUGGAAGCAUGAUGUAUCCAGUGCACAGGAAUCUAAGGAACCAAAACAACAGAGUAGUAGAUCAGGCAGCUGUUCCCAACAGGCUCUCAAUCCCCCUUGUGAUGUCACUAUUGAUGAACUAGCAAGCUAUUUUGAAACAUUGGUACAUAUACCAAAAAAAAUGUCCUCCAUGGCUGAAAUGAUGUAUAUUUAAUUGUGAACUUCACUCACAUGUGAACCAAAAAUGAGGACCUCAUACUAAGUGCAAAGUUAAAGUAAUAUUGAAAGAAUUUGUCAGUUGAAACUGGGGCAGGACCCGUUGACUGAAUCUAUUUACAAAUUAAUAUUUGUAUGACAGACAUAGUUUUUCACUGCCAUGCAUUCAACCUAUUUUACACUUUCACUUCAAAUCAAUAUUUUAUGUUAUAACCCUGAUGUGUAGUAUUUUAUUUAACCAUAAUUUUCAGCAAUUUCUAACAUCUGUUUGUUUACUAUUCCUUGAUUUUAAUAAUCCUAGUGUUAUCUGUGUCAUUUAUUUUGUUGUACUGUAAGUGAUAAAUAUCAAAACUAUUUUAAGAUGGAAAAUAUUGUGAAAAAUACAGUUAUGAUGAUUGAACAGUUUUUUUAUUACAUAUGUUUCAUGCCUAAUAUUUCAGUGUCUGCAAUAUACAGGUGAUUUGUUAUUGAGAGUACAAUCUCAUAUGAGUCAUUUACAACAUUUUUGUCUAACAAAGGGAUAGGCGGAAAUGAGUAAUCAAUAAACUAUUUAACUUUAUGUUAAUUUCAAAAUGACCCAAAUCUCAAACUGAAAAAUAAACUAAAAAACCACGAUUUUUUUCCGGUGUACCAUCUAUCUCAACGGUAACAAGCUCAAGGCUCAACCCUAAUGCUCUUUUAUGGGACACAAGUAUUUGGGUAAUGGUUUUAUUUUUUCUUUUUAUGGAAUAGAAGGCAAACGGCCAGGCGGAUCACCUGUUGAUAAGGGAUCAGAUCAGGGACAAAAUUACACACCUCUACCUUAAUUUUAUAAUCAGAUGAAAUGAAAGGGUAUUCGGCACGAACACGAACCACGGCAUGGCCAGAAUUUAGCGUGAUAAGUAGGGGUAAAUUCCUGAAUUGAAUAAGUAAUUUCUCAUUUUUCUUCAUGGUAUACAAAGAAAUAUUAAGCCCUACUUGGCCCAUCCAUUGGCCAUGGUAACAGCCACAGAUUAUAAUGUUAUUUAUUUUCAUCGUCCUUCUGACAUCAGCUGUCACAUCAGCAGCUUUUACAAAAUAGUCUAACUUGUUUUGUUGAUACAAAUUGAAAACAAAUACGUCUACUUUCAGAUGUUGUAUUUAUAUUACUGGAACAAUUAAAUAAUUUAUAUUUAUAUAAGUUUCAAUCCUAAAAUCAUGUUGAAUGUAAACGCUGGAUGUUGGUAUGGUCUAUUUUUGGAUGCGUAUACUUAUUCCACCAAAUAUUUGAUUUUUACUGUAACAGUGAUCAUAACUUCUAUAUUUUUCGUAUGGAUAUACGAGAAACCUUCGUUUUACAGGCUGUUAUUCAAAAUAAGUAAACAUUCUACCAUUGUUAGUCCUAUUGAGAGCUGUGAAGAAAUUGACUCCGAAUACCACAACAGUACAUUAUUUGAUGAUGAGUUAACAACUAACCAAGAAAGGAAAAAGGACUCUGAAGUAGAACCAGAAUCUCGACCUUCUCAUUAGUCAUAAAAUAAUUGAAAUAUUUACCCACGGAAUGUUUAGUUUAUAUAGCAUUCUUAGGUACAUUCAUUAUAUCCAAUGAUGUUAUCCAAUAAUAAAUAUCCAAUUACCUA